GGGGGAUGAGUUUCCUUUCGAGUUUGUCCCUCGCUUCAGAAUAUUCUUGGCAGUAGAGGAGUAUAUGUGUCGCGUCUUCUUUUUCUGGGCACCCGUGAGGACAUUCAUCUGGUAUUUCGGGGUCCAAUCUGCUCAUGAAGUGGUUUAGUUUAUUGUGCCCGCUGCGUAGCCGAAGCAUUGCUGUUUGGAUAUUUCGUUUCUUGUUAAUGUGCCAAGGUCCUUUUUCCGUUUUUACGGAUUUCGGUGGCCAGUUGGUCAGCAAUUUCGUUUCCUGGUAUCCCAGCAUGUGAAGGUAUUGCUGGACUUGCUUCCCAUUUGAAAUUUGAAAUUGCUUGGACAGCUGAUUUGGAAUCAGUGUAGAUGGUGACUGAGGGAAUUUCAUACUCGUUCAGGCAUGGAUCCAAGGACGAACGAGCCGUAGUCGUAGGCGCUCCGAAUCAUGGCUUUGAAGAUGCGGAUAAGGAGUGGCAGUUUCAAGCGAUGCACAUUUAUCCACGGAGAAGUGGAAGUUCCAACUGAUGGCCCAUUCUUCUAUCUUAUCUAG